UAAGGAAUAUUGGUCAAUGGACGCAAGUCUGAACCAGCCAUGCCGCGUGAAGGAUGAAGGUCCUCUGGAUUGUAAACUUCUUUUAUCUGGGACGAAAACGGGAUUUUUAUCUCAAUUGACGGUACCAGAGGAAUAAGCACCGGCUAACUCCGUGCCAGCAGCCGCGGUAAUACGGAGGGUGCGAGCGUUAUCCGGAUUUACUGGGUUUAAAGGGUGCGUAGGUGGGCUUAUAAGUCAGUGGUGAAAUCUCCGAGCUUAACUUGGAAACUGCCGUUGAUACUAUAGGUCUUGAAUUAUCUGGAGGUAAGCGGAAUAUGUCAUGUAGCGGUGAAAUGCUUAGAUAUGACAUAGAACACCAAUUGGGAAGGCAGCUUACUACAUAUAAAUUGACGCUGAGGCACGAAAGCGUGGGGAUCAAACA
rnacentral:rRNA from 1 species